AUUGAACGCUGGCGGCAUGCUUUACACAUGCAAGUCGAACGGUAACAGGGUGCUUGCACCGCUGACGAGUGGCGAACGGGUGAGUAAUGCGUCGGAACGUGCCGAGUAGUGGGGGACAACGCAGCGAAAGUUGUGCUAAUACCGCAUACGUACUGAGGUAGAAAGUGGGGGACCUUCGGGCCUCACGCUAUUCGAGCGGCCGACGUCUGAUUAGCUAGUAGGUGAGGUAAAGGCUCACCUAGGCGACGAUCAGUAGCGGGUCUGAGAGGAUGAUCCGCCACACUGGGACUGAGACACGGCCCAGACUCCUACGGGAGGCAGCAGUGGGGAAUUUGGGACAAUGGGCGCAAGCCUGAUCCAGCCAUGCCGCGUGUCUGAAGAAGGCCUUCGGGUUGUAAAGGACUUUUGUCCGGGAGCAAAUGCCUGGUGUUAAUAGCACUGGGAGCUGAGAGUACCGGAAGAAUAAGCACCGGCUAACUACGUGCCAGCCGCCGCAGUAAGAC
rnacentral:rRNA from 1 species